rnacentral:lncRNA from 1 species
UAUAUAUAGAAAGAUUUAUUCAAUGUUAAAGCACCUAUAUUGUUAAUCAACAGUAAUGCAAUUAUAUAUAUUACCUGAACAAAAAUAUAAAUGCACUGUUAUAGUUAAAAAGACUAGAUGUAAUACAAUCUGUUUGAAGUAAAUUCUUUUCUGAUAAUGUUAUUUUUAAUUCAGAAUAAACAUUUGUGUGAUUAUGGAAUAUAUAAUCUGUGUCAUAUGAACGUUUUAUUAGUUCUAAUUAAGUGUGGUUGUAUAAAACAUUUCUGUGAAAUGAAGCAGAUAAGUUUAAAGCUGUUAAAAUAAUAUGCAUAUUACUUACAAUUUGCUCACAUACAAAUAUACACUCCUGCAAAUGCUUCAUGAAUUGUUUAAAUAUCGUACAAAUGUCUUUUAAAUGUAAGAUAUUUAUGAAAUUGCUUCAGUUCUCAUAUCAGAAAACUAAGGAGAACAUGACAUUGCUUUCAGCUAUUUGUCUAUUUAGAACGUUUUUAAACAAAUUUAUUAUCUCCCUUGAUACAUAGUACCAAAAAAGAGGUAAAAAAUGCCAAACUCUUACCAGAAGGUUGUUAUAGAUGAAUAGCAAUCAACUGUAGAAACUUUCUAUGUUGACGUUUUUAUAAUACAAUCAACAAAGAGCAUUGCCAAAUAUUUCAGUCUAACAGUCAAUCGACAACCAGUAACUUAAGUUUUCAAUUUCUUCCUUUUUAAAACAUUCAUAAGGAUUCAAAGAAAUUAUCUCCCUUUUUUAAAACAUUCAUAAGGAUUAAAAGAAGUUAUCUCCCUUCCUUCUUCACAAUACAUAUCAGCAAAUAUUCAGGCAGUAAAAAGUAAAUAUCUUGAUUAUGUAAAAUAGUUAAAAUAAAAUAUUACAAAAAUACAACUGCAUAACAAAAAAUUGUAGCAUUAACAACUGACGUUGAUGAUUUGUGUUAUAAAAUGACUGGAUGAGAUUAAAUGUUGAUUUCGUGCAACUGAACACAUACAUGUGCAAAAAUACUUUUAAAGAUAUAUGUAUAUUAUAUAUUCAACAAAUAUAUGUAAUAAUGUCAAUUUUGUGUAUUGACACAGAAAGUAACACAUGUGAUAGUCCUGUGGUCUUUGUAAGCAGCAACCAUUUUGUUUUAUCAAAAUAAUUUAAUAGAUGCCAUCUACCUUGAGUUUUGUACAGAAGGUUGUUGAUGGUGUUUAAAGUCCUUCACAGCAACUUAAUGCUGUAAGUUGGAAAGUAGUUUAUACAGCUGAACAUUUCCAAUUGUAUACAUUCAUUUUACAUUGAUGCUCAACACAAAUAUAAAUGUUUGAUGCACCAUAUAAAUAUAUUUUUUAUGUACCACAUAAACAUAAGUGUGAUGCGCUAUAAAUAUGUAAUCGGUAGAUGUUCUAAUGGAAAUGUAUAGCAAAAAUGCCUAAAACAUGAAGAUGAAAUAACAUUCCUAUACAAUUGCAUUUUAAAUUCAAUUUUCUCCAACCUAAAUGAACUUUUUUUGUAACAAUGAUUACUGCUAACAAAGUCUUUACGAUACAUGUAACAACCAUAAAAAGCCAGCUUUUCAUUCAGAUAGACAUAAAUAAACAAUCUGCAAAAAAACAGAAAUGAGGGAAAAUACACAAACUAUUCCUUGAAUAUCUUAAUAAGGAAAAUAAGAAAAUGCUGAAAAUUAUAAUUAUGCUGUUUCACUGUUGCAAAAAUGUCUGGUUAUAGAAAUAAUGAAAUUUGUCUGGUUACAAACUACACUUGUUUAUUUUAUUUUCACAUUAUGCACAAAAAAGAAAAAUGCACUUAAUCUAUGUUUAUAAAAUGUAACCUUAAAAUAUUGUUUUAAUCUGAAGUAUCAUGUUUUCUAAUUGUGAGGCCUAUAUCUCAGAUUAUUUUUCUAAACUAAACCUAAUCUAAACAAUGUUUUUCUUAACUAAAUAACAGUUUUGAUUUUCAAUUUUGACAACCAAUAUCAUUUUUGGAGUAUCAAUUCAGAUGAUUGUCCAAAAAUCUAUACAAUCUACGCUGGAUUUCAAAUUUUGUUUUAAAGCUUUUGUCCAAUUUUUAGGAUUUAUGAAUAAUUAAACAAAACAAGGAGUUAAAACAAAAGUUUUUUCUUUGGAAAUUCAAUUUUAAUAUAAAAUUAAUAACUUUCUGAAAAAAAUUGAAGAUCCUACUUUAAAAUAAAAUUCAUGCUUAAUUUAAUAUAGGAAUAAUAUUACCUCCUUUUUACUACCAUUAAAACAAAGAUUGCCAUUUAUUGCACAAGGAAAUAUUCAUAGUAGAGAAAACAAGUAAAGCAAAAGAGAAAUUAAACUGAUUGAACACAAUAUACUGUAUUGCACAGCGAUUUUGAAUCAAAUUUUGCAGAUAUAAUUCUGAAUAUCAAUUUAUCUAUAUAUGGUAUUUUUCAUUACAAAAAUUUUACCUAAUGUUUUGUUAAAUUUAUUGUUAUACAAUGCAAUUAUACAAGUAAUACAAUGAAGUAAAAUAUAUUCUUAUACGUAAUUUUGUGUCAUAUAAAGAUUUCCGUGCAGUGAAUAUGUUUUCUCAAUUGUAUAUAGCACUGAAUAAACAAAAACAUUCUCUACUGUUAAAACUACGAACACAAAAUAAUUCAAUAUUGCACAUAAAAUCUGUACAAAAAAUAAUAAUAAUAAACAAAACUUAACAAAAAUCAUCAAUUUUAGGCACUUUAAAUGCUU